UUUGCCAAAAGCUUAACUUACAACUAAGUUAUUUUAAGAGCAUCAUAUUUAUUUAUCAUCAGCCUACCACUAGAUGAGCACCUGUACUACAACACAUCACUUGAUUAUUACAAACAAUAUUAACCAUAUCAAAUUCAUCAUAUGUUCUUCUUGCUAUCAUCAUUAUCACGAACCAAGUUCAUUAGUGAAUGCUACGUUUGCCGCUGCUCUGUCAAGUUCUCACUAACCGGGAGAGACGGCGAUUCGAAUCGAAUUCCUAUCCAGCUGGAGGGUUAUUCCUAGCACUCACCCAAACAUCC
rnacentral:lncRNA from 1 species